GGGGGUGGUUCCGGUCUGGUGGCCGGCACGGACUUCAAACCCGAUUGUGAGGCGGUUUGCGCCGUCUCAGGUGUGUUCGAUUCGCACACAUCCCCGCCA
rnacentral:tRNA from 1 species